UACAGAGGUCCCAAGCGUUGUUCGGAUUCAUUGGGCGUAAAGGGUGCGUAGGCGGCGCGGUAAGUCGGGUGUGAAUCUCGGAGCUUAACUCCGAAACUGCAUUCGAUACUGCCGUGCUUGAGGACUGGAGAGGAGACUGGAAUUUACGGUUGUAGCGGUGAAAUGCGUAGAUAUCGUAAGGAAGACCAGUGGCGAAGGCGGGUCUCUGGACAGUUCCUGACGCUGAGGCACGAAGGCCAGGGGAGCAAACGGG
rnacentral:rRNA from 1 species